CUGCUAGCAGCCAAGGGAGAAGGAGCCCUUCUAGAACAAGUGAAGGGAUGAGGCCUGACUAAGUUCUGCUCCAGGUGUCUGUAACGGGAUGAAGCUCAUAGACCACUAGGAGUGGAGGAAAAAAUUGAUUAGCUAGAACUGACCACAACUGUGGGGGCAGAGAGGGGAGGAGGCCAGAUGUUCAACACCACACAGCUGUGCUUGGACUGUACUCAAUCUUACAUAAUCUGUGCCAAACUACAUCAUUAGUCCUGACACUGAGAAGCAUGGAAACUCACCCCAGAGAACCCUUCUGGUGCCAGGAGGAUGGAAUUCCCACAUACACAAUCUGCUAACACAGAGCAGUGUCUGCUGCUGACAUGCCAUGCAUUGCUCGGUUAACCAGUCUGCAGGACUGUGGCCGUGGAUCCUAAGAGAAACAGCUCAACAGCUUCCACUUCUGAGCAGCUAUCUGUUCUAUCCCAGAAUA